rnacentral:lncRNA from 1 species
AUAUAUUUCUUUUUAAAUGUGGGUGAGUGAGAGUGCAGAUAUAUCAUCAAAUAGGAAUAGAAGUUUGAGUUGCGCCAAAAUUUGAGUGAUUUUGGUUAAUUGUCAGAUAACAACGCUUGCACUUUCUUCAUUCGUAUAAAAGACAAAUGUAGUGUCAAAAUCUAAAUUAAUUAAGUUGUCCGCAAUUCAUGAUUAGUACGUAUGGUUAAAAUAUAAGUGCAUUAAUUUCUUUUCCUUGAUAUAAAGUUUUCCCAUUUUCACAAUAACUUAAGCCAUGAUUAAUAUAUAUCAACCAAAAGUCGCGAUAAAUAAAGUGAAAUUAAAAGGGAAGAAUACGCAUUAGAUUCGGUGGGUGAGAUUUCAUUCUCAUUUCUCAAAUUAAGAUUUCUAAUAACAAUCUAUAACAGUGACUUUUGUAUUCACAUAAAUCCAAAGCUCAACGAUCCAAAUACUUUUAACAGUUGAAUAAUGUCCACUCAAAUCAAUAAAUUAUCAAUUAUUUCAAGAAGAUCAAUUAACAACCCCUUUACACACUCAGCAUUUAGCAUUAGCAACAUGGUAUCUAAUAGUCCAUGAACCACAUGACCCAUGAGAGCAUUUAAUUAAGACCCCAACAGUCACUCUUGGCCGUCCAAUCUGUAAAAUCAUCAACAAAGAAAUCGCGGCAAUCUCGAGGGAGUAACGAUCAAUAACCAACAUCAACGGCAGAAUCCAUGGAGAAAUAUUAUUGUAUUUAACAAUGAGGCACAAAUACGUUUUAUUCAAAGAUGAUCAUAUCAGUUCCCGACCCCACGUCAACCGACAAGGCUCCUUUAUUGUGUAUUUAAAUUGAAUGAUCGUUAGUGAUACGAAUAUACGAUAACUCUUUUGAAGCCAUGCAAAUUAGUCAAGGUUUAACUAAUUGAUAGAUAUUAAUACCGAAAAAAUUGUACUGGCCGAUGUGACAUAGCAGAAUUAAUUGAAUGAAAGUAUAAAGUAUUGAUGAAAUAUUUUAGAAAAGGGUUUGGUUACAUAGG